rnacentral:lncRNA from 1 species
CCAAAUCCGUAAAAUCAUAAUAAAUCAGAAUAUUUGUAAAAUUUUUAUGGGAUUUUCGGAGGCCAGUGACAUCUGAAUAUAAAUGCUGUCGAAAUAUAAAGCCUUUCUAUAUCAGUUUUUUAUUUUUUUUUUUAUUUUUCGACCAUAUAAUUAAAAUUAUUGUUUCUAAAAUUCAUAAACAGUACAUAUGAACACACGCCGAUGUACAAUCCUUUAUUUUUUUUUUGCGCUGAAUUUGAGAGUAAAAAUGUCACACGUAAUGACGCAGGACAUAGAAUAGUUUGUUGGUGCGGUAAUAAUGGUUUAGAUGACGAUGAAUAACAAGGCAUGUAUCGAACCUUUGUUUCAGUUUAAUAUAUCUGGGUAAGAGAUUUUCUGUUUUCAUUUCAAUAACAACAACAUUGGAAUUUCAAAGCGGCAAGCUUCAUUCAUUCCAGUUGCAUGCUUAAAGUCAACCAACUUUUAUUUACUAAAUCCAAUACUUUUACAUACUUAACCACUUGCUACUCAACUCCUAUAAAUAACUCAGAGAGAUACAGCCAGAGAGAGAGAGGGAGAGAGAGAGAUUUUUCUUGUUAUAUAGAGUAACACAGAGAGAGAGAGAGAGAGAGAGAGAGAGAGGGAGGGAGAGGGAGGGAGGGAGACAGGGGGAGANAGAGAGAGAGAGAGAGAGAGAGAGAGAGGGAGUCCAAAAACUAGCAUAUGAAUUUAAGGGUCGCGCUCUGGAGAGAACCAGUCCCUGAAAUAGAAAUAUAGAACCCCUAAGGCCUGAAAUAGAAAUAUAGAACCCCUAAGGUUUCGCUGCAGAAUCCUAAAUUUUAAAUAGAUUUUUAGGAUCUAAAUCUACAUGCAUGUUUUUUUGCAUGUGAAGUUCCGCCGCAGAACCUAAUUAAUACUAGAAAUAAGGUAAGAAAUAAGAUAAGGGUUCUAUGAGUUCUUUGUAAUGGUUCUCUCUUGAACAUAACUCGUGAAUUUAAACACUAACAUAUGGAUUUGAGGUUCUUAUUUCCGUUAAUCAGGCUCAUUAACCGUGAAUGAAAUGCCCCAAAAUUAUUACAUGUAAUUAUAACACUUUGUUGAAUAAUAAGGCAUUAGUAGAAAUGCAGCAAUUUAGUUACGUAACUAUUACUUCGUGUUUAAGUGAUAAUCCAACGUGAUACUGUUAUAGAAAACGAUUGAAAUCUUCCAGAGCCAAUAGCUUAUUAUAACUAAAUACUAAUUAUUAGUGCUAUAACAUGAAAAUGGGGCAAUUCAUUUUCUGGCAAGUUCUUGUUAGAAUAUGCAGUCCAGCCAAAUUAUAACCCACCCAAAUUAAGGAAAGUUUGAUGAAGGACAAAAAUACCUAAUUAUAAGAAAAUCGGAUGAGAAUUUCUAUCAUUGAGUUUAUGGCCAAUUAUACCAAUUGAAUAUGUAUUUGAAGCGUGGGAAUUGAGAUGUAUCAAUCUCGAAAUAUAAAUUUUUGUAGGACUCGUGAUUCAUAUAACUAUAUAAGAGUAAAGUCUGGAGUGGUGGUUGAAAGUGUUCAAAUUUUUAUAAAUAGGUGGCUGAUUUUGUGUGUUGUUAAGUAUGAAAAAUAAGGGUGUAAAUUGAUUAUCAACCAAUAUUUUAUUAAAUUUUAGAAAUUUUAACAACUAUAUUAAAAUUAUUCUUUAAUUUUUAAUAUUUAAUGACAUAUCGUUAAUGGCAGUUGAUGACCGUGAGUUUUUUUAAAAACAGUGAAAAAUACAUGCCAAAUUAUUGUUAUUUCAAAUAUAAAUCAACAUUUUAUAAAAGGACAAAAAGUUUAGCUGCGAUCUAAAAUUUACUCUAUAUUUAUCAAUUCUGAAAUUAUAAUUUUCUUUAUAACAUACUAUAAAUGUUAGAUAUACACUGUUUUUGGAGUGAAAUCGGUGAAAGAGGUCCAUCUCAGAUCUCAAUACAACCAGGUUUAGUACUCCCUCCGUCCACCAGGUUCUUUACGUUACUUUUGGGCACACAUUUUAAGACUCCCUCAAAAUGCGUGCAAACAGUGAACAUAAACAAUCUGUUGGGACGGAGGGAGUAGUACUUUUAACGGACGAAUAUCCCCAAGAUCUUUAUCACUCACAUAAAAAAUAAGAAAGAAAUCUAAGUACGUUUAAAUUACAUGAUUAACUUUUGAAAAAAGAAGGUAGGAGUAGUUUAUAGGAUCUUGGGAGUACUAAAAGUCUAAAAGAGAUUUGACAGAUGCUCAUGCGGGUACUGAGUCACUCCCUUGUCGUACAUCAAAAUUUAUACCUGCGAGCAAAGCUCGACGCAUAUUUUAAGAUUCUUAUAAGAUAUAGGGGUCGUUUGGAUGAGUUUUGAAAUAAGUGUUUCUUUAUUAACGUAAAAAAAUUGAAAUAGAAGUUAGAAGUGAUUAAAGUGUUUGGGAAAUAAGUAGGAGAACUAGCAUUUGUAAUUUUUAAAAAGUGCUUUUGUUUUUUUACACAAACGGGUCUAAGAAAAAUAGAAGCCAUACUCUCCCCUCGUCCCAAACAGGCACAUAAGUUAAUAAAUUAUUUUAAUUUUUUUUUUCUGAUUAUAAGUUCAAUACUUAAACUUAUAUACAAAUAUGAUUUAAAAUAUACUCAUUUUAUUUUUUGAGAUUUUUCAUAGCAGGGGAUGGGAGCUUGUUACGCAUUUUAAGACUUCUAUUAAUAAUAAUUAAAAAAUAUUUUUAAUUGUUUUCUUUAAAUACAAAAUUGAUGUUUAAGUUUCUAUUUAAAAAAUUAUAUAAGUUCUAUAAUUAUAUUUUAUAAAAAAUUAAUAUAUUUGUUACAAAAAAAUCAUAAAAAAAAAUAGAUGUACGGAGUAACAAAUUUAUGUUAUAUCAAGUGCAUAUAAUGUUGCUAUUAACCCGUUAAUCAGAAAAUGGAAAAACAAAGGACUUGUAUUGGUUCCUGAUCCUGUGGCUGCAAAAACUUUUAACUUACAAUUUCUGCCAUAAAAAGAGUGGACAUUAAAGAGCAUACCCAAUUUCAUAACACAGCCGACGACUUGAGGACAAAAUAUUUAUCUGAAAUGUCGAUAUCCAAAAAUUAAUGCCCUGUUGCUGUAUCACCCAACUAGAAAAGAAAUACCAAAUGAAAGAGUACGAACUUUUCUCAACUUUCAUAUCUAACUUUUCUUAUUUUCCUUUUUUUCGUAAUUACAAUCUGUUAUAUCAAAUUUGUCCCAAUCUUAAUCCAUACCGUCUCUUUUUUGUAGUGAAAAGUUAUCACAAUUUUAAAUAAACUCAUGAAGUAUUUUAUCCAGAUUAAUUAAUUUUGUAGAUCAAUUAAUUUAUGACUUUUAACAUAUUAUAAUUAAUUUUUAUUCCACUCAAACAGAAGUUAUCUAAAAUCUCGUAAAUCUACACAUAUUAACACAAAUCACUUAGAAUCUCAUAUACUUCAGAAAGAAUUUUAGAAGAAUGAAAUACUCUAUCAAAUUGCCAAAAUCCGUCCUUUUACAAAAUAUGACUGAUUAUUAAUAUUUGAAUAUUAUGAAAUUUUAGAUAUUUUUUAAAAUCUUAAGAAAAAUUUAAAAUUCUAAAUAACUCAAAAUCUUAAGAGAUUAUUUGUAAUCCUGGAUGCAUAUAUUCAGAUUUCUAGGAUUCGAACACUUUUGCCCCCUUUCUCAAAAGUAAAAUCUUGACGGAAUACAUCCCUCAAUUUACAAGGAUGGUCCAAAUCCGUAAAAUCAUAAUAAAUCAGAAUAUUUGUAAAAUUUUUAUGGGAUUUUCGGAGGCCAGUGACAUCUGAAUAUAAAUGCUGUCGAAAUAUAAAGCCUUUCUAUAUCAGUUUUUUAUUUUUUUUUUUAUUUUUCGACCAUAUAAUUAAAAUUAUUGUUUCUAAAAUUCAUAAACAGUACAUAUGAACACACGCCGAUGUACAAUCCUUUAUUUUUUUUUUGCGCUGAAUUUGAGAGUAAAAAUGUCACACGUAAUGACGCAGGACAUAGAAUAGUUUGUUGGUGCGGUAAUAAUGGUUUAGAUGACGAUGAAUAACAAGGCAUGUAUCGAACCUUUGUUUCAGUUUAAUAUAUCUGGGUAAGAGAUUUUCUGUUUUCAUUUCAAUAACAACAACAUUGGAAUUUCAAAGCGGCAAGCUUCAUUCAUUCCAGUUGCAUGCUUAAAGUCAACCAACUUUUAUUUACUAAAUCCAAUACUUUUACAUACUUAACCACUUGCUACUCAACUCCUAUAAAUAACUCAGAGAGAUACAGCCAGAGAGAGAGAGGGAGAGAGAGAGAUUUUUCUUGUUAUAUAGAGUAACACAGAGAGAGAGAGAGAGAGAGAGAGAGAGAGGGAGG